rnacentral:rRNA from 1 species
GUAGGGAAUCUUCCACAAUGGACGCAAGUCUGAUGGAGCAACGCCGCGUGAGUGAAGAAGGUCUUCGGAUCGUAAAACUCUGUUGUUAGAGAAGAACGUGUGUGAGAGUGGAAAGUUCACACAGUGACGGUAACUUACCAGAAAGGGACGGCUAACUACGUGCCAG